rnacentral:tRNA from 1 species
GCAUAGGUGCCAGAAGAUAUGGGUUGAUUUUAAGCGUCAAAUAUAGGAGUAUUUCCUCAUAUGUA